AGCGAACGCUGGCGGCAGGCCUAACACAUGCAAGUCGAACGAACUCUUCGGAGUUAGUGGCGGACGGGUGAGUAACACGUGGGAACGUGCCUUUAGGUUCGGAAUAACUCAGGGAAACUUGUGCUAAUACCGAAUGUGCCCUUCGGGGGAAAGAUUUAUCGCCUUUCAAGCGGCCCGCGUCUGAUUAGCUAGUUGGUGAGGUAAAGGCUCACCAAGGCGACGAUCAGUAGCUGGUCUGAGAGGAAGAUCAGCCACAUUGGGACUGGGACACGGCCCAAACUCCUGCGGGAGGCAGCAGUGGGGAAUCUUGCGCAAUGGGCGAAAGCCUGACGCAGCCAUGCCGCGUGAAUGAUGAAGGUCUGAGGAUUGUAAAAUUCUUUAACCGGGGACGAUAAUGACGGUACCCGGAGAAGAAGCCCCGGCUAACUUCGUG
rnacentral:rRNA from 1 species